rnacentral:lncRNA from 1 species
AUUUACUGAUACGGUCAAUUUAUUAGUGUCUAAGGAAAGCAACAGGGGGACUCCCACCGAUCUCCACUUACCUGAUCAAUUUGGAAGAUUAAGUCUUGAAUGGGUUGCUUAACGAUUUGAUUUAGCCUAUGCCAAUUAAAUCACUCAUAUGAUGAUUGAUUAUAUAAGAUCUAAACCUAAACCUUCUCAUAAAUAUUAAGUCCAUAGGUCUUCCACCGUUGUAGAUGUGUGGGCGUGCUAUUGGUGUUGAUUGUCUCGACCGGUUACAGUAGUUCAGUUGCGUCGAAAGCAUGCAACUACUCUAUUUACAAAGAGUUGCUCCAAGAUUAGGAUGGGAGUUGAAUCCAAUAACUGUUAGGUGAGGGACCCAAUGACGGUCGUGCACCUGCUUGUGAAUGGUGGGUCGGGCUUAACUAAGGAGUAUGGUCAAUAAUUGUUAGGUGAGCCCGCAUGACUUAGAGAUCAAGUCACUGCAACAUGCUUAGAGAAGCAUCUAGGCAAAGAGUUAUCCACGCAUCGGUGUGCAUGUUAUCAAUAACUGUUAGGUGAGGUACUUGACAUCGGUGGGACUGCAGUACCCACUAGGAAUCUUUUUGUCGCAUUAAAAUUUUUGUUUUCCAUCCGAGGAGUGGAGGGAUCCGAAAA